AGAUCCGGCUUCGUAUUUCAAUGAUGAUGAACUUGCGAAUGAAAAGUCAUUGAAAUUGUAUAUUGUCGGACCAUAUACAUCCUUAAUAAUGACGUUUGGAAAUUUGAGACAUCACUACUUCAUUACUCCUCCUUCACCAUUUCCUAGGUGGUUUUAUAGGGAUCAUAAGUAUGUGGUGACCAAUGGAAAAGAAAAAUAUGUGUUCAUCCCUGCAGGCGUACAACAAGAAUUUGUCAUUAAACUGUUAGAUGUUUUGGAAUUGUAUACAAGUUACCCUGUGUAAAGGAGUGUUUUAAAAAAAAACUGCAUUAAAAGUUUUUUUUUGUUU